UGGAGUCCUGAGCAUGGUGUUUAUGGCUUCUUGAUCUUUAUCAGUUUCCUAAAGCAUGAGUGGAAUUCAAAGCAAUCAAAACGGGACCCCAGGUACCAAGCCCUGUUUUACUGGUGUGGCCCCACCGUAACCACAGUGAGGCUCUGUCUGGGAUCUACGGUUAGGGUCUCUCAAAAUAGUGCCGGGGAAGCUGAGGUUGGCCCUCACUCUACAGCGGGGAAAACCAAGGCCCAGUGAGAUUCCAGCAGAACCCGGAAGUAGAGCUUAGCACUGGAGGCUGGCAUAUCUGCCUUUCCCCAUCUUGACUGUUUCUCACAGUUGCCUUUUCUUUCUAUCAUUCACUCGCUAAAUACUUAAAGACUGGCUUUAUCUUUUAUUAUUUAUAUUCAUUAAAAAAACAAUGUGAACUGAAAAGUGAAACCUUUCUCUACCCUUAUAACAGGCAGUCUUGUGGUCCACCAGGGGCUCUGCUUCUCCCCACCCAGCCCUGGGAGUCCACCAUCGGUGUACCACAGUGUGUCAGACACGCUGAUGUUCCCUAAACUCUGCCCUCACAUUAUAUGGUGGACAGAGGACUUAGUCACAGUCUUCUGAUCUGCACUCACAAAGAUAUCUUGUGGUAGGCAUGAAAAUCAGUAUAAUUCACCAUUAUAUUUUACAGAUGAGGAUGCUGGGACUCCACGAGGUGAAGAGACUCAGAGGUACUGAGCUGACCCAAGAUAAGAGCGUGAGUCCUGCCUCUAGUCUUGGACUGUGUCUCUCCAAAGCAGUACCUGCUAUCUGACUCACAGGGAGCCCCUCUGGAUACAUAGCCUCAGCCCAUGCUGUGAGGGGCCCUCUGCUUACGGGCCCCCUGAAGCAAAUUCAGGUUGGAAGAGGGAGUACUGGGUCGAAGACAUGAGCAAGCAUCUCUUCUUUCUGAUUCUGGGCCCAUCAAGCAGCUUUCCAGAGGAAUCAGCCACGUGGUUUCUGUGAGCAGUCACAGUCAUCCCCUCUCAGUGGGGAAAAGAUGGGUAGGGGGGACCCUGAGCCCAGGCUGCCUGGUCUCCUAGAAAGUGACAGAGACCGUGUCCUCAGUGAUUCUCUGCAUCUCCCACUGCCCACCAGCUUUGUGCUGACCCUUCUCUCUGCAGGUGUGUGACUACUGUUCAGUACUGCCCACCGGGAACUAUUUUCUUCCACCAGCAAUGACCCACUGGAUCCUGGUUCCCAGUCUCUCAGUAAAAAUCCAAGUUGUGACAGCAGAGAGGAGGAACAUGACUGUUAAGAAGAAUGAAGAUUCCGCUGAGUCUGCAACUUCCCAGAAUGGAUGGAGGAAGCCAAGUCUGUGAGAAAGUGCUUCCGAACUCCAUGCCUCAAAUCCAACAACACCAGCACCCUGUGGUCCAAAUCCAGGAGCCUCCCCAAUCCCCACCCUCCUGUGAUACAAACCAGCAGAGGACUGGUGCAGUUGCCCAGCAGGCAGUGGCUGGACACAAAGGAACUGAACCUUGAAAACAUCAUGCAACACAGAAGACCACAUCCUCAGGUGCUUCCAUUCGUCUGAAAUGCCCAGAACUCACAAAGCUACGGAGGCGGAAGGUAGAUCAGUUUCUGCCUACCAGGGGGCAGGAGAGUGACUGCUCAGGAGCUCAAGGUUCCUUUGGGGGUGAUGGAAAUGUUGUAAAUGUCGACUAUACGGAUGACUGCACAACUUGGAAUAUACCAAAAACUCCGCACGCUUUAAAUGGGUGAACUGUACAGUACCUAAUUAUAUCUCAACAAAAUUCUUUUUUAAAGAGCAAAAGGAAACAUACUUUCCAGGUCAC